UUAAGUGAAUAAGGGCGCACGGUGGAUGCCUUGGCACUAGGAGCCGAUGAAGGACGGGACUAACACCGAUAUGCUUUGGGGAGCUGUACGUAAGCUAUGAUCCAGAGAUUUCCGAAUGGGGGAACCCAGCAUCUUUAAUAGGAUGUUACGAUUGUGUGAAUACAUAGCACAUUCGAGGUAGACGCAGAGAACUGAAACAUCUAAGUACCUGCAGGAAGAGAAAGAAAAUUCGAUUCCCUGAGUAGCGGCGAGCGAAACGGGAAAAGCCCAAACCAGCAAGCUUGCUUGUUGGGGUUGUAGGACUCCAAUAUGGUAGUUCUUUCAGAUAGUCGAAUGACUUGGAAAAGUCAGUCAAAGAGGGUAAAAACCCCGUAGACGAAAUGUGGAAGACACCUAGGAGGAUCCUGAGUACGGCGGAACACGAGAAAUUCCGUCGGAAUCCGGGAGGACCAUCUCCCAAGGCUAAAUACUCCCUAGUGACCGAUAGUGAACCAGUACCGUGAGGGAAAGGUGAAAAGCACCCCGGAAGGGGAGUGAAAUAGAACCUGAAACCGUGUGCCUACAACAAGUCAAAGCCCGUUAAUGGGUGAUGGCGUGCCUUUUGUAGAAUGAACCGGCGAGUUACGAUUGCAUGCGAGGUUAAGUUGAAGAGACGGAGCCGCAGCGAAAGCGAGUCUGAAUAGGGCGUUUGAGUAUGUAGUCGUAGACCCGAAACCAUGUGAUCUACCCAUGUCCAGGUUGAAGGUGCGGUAAAACGCACUGGAGGACCGAACCCACGUACGUUGAAAAGUGCGGGGAUGAGGUGUGGGUAGCGGAGAAAUUCCAAACGAACUUGGAGAUAGCUGGUUCUCUCCGAAAUAGCUUUAGGGCUAGCCUCGGAAUUGAGAAUGAUGGAGGUAGAGCACUGUUUGGACUAGGGGCCCAUCUCGGGUUACCGAAUUCAGAUAAACUCCGAAUGCCAUUCAUUCAUAUCCGGGAGUCAGACUGUGAGUGAUAAGAUCCAUAGUCGAAAGGGAAACAGCCCAGACCACCAGCUAAGGUCCCAAAAUAUAUGUUAAGUGGAAAAGGAUGUGGGGUUGCACAGACAACUAGGAUGUUGGCUUAGAAGCAGCCAUCAUUUAAAGAGUGCGUAAUAGCUCACUAGUCGAGUGACCCUGCGCCGAAAAUGUACCGGGGCUAAACAUAUUACCGAAGCUGUGGAGUACACCUUUAGGUGUAUUGGUAGGAGAGCGUUCUAAGGGCGUCGAAGGCAGAUCGUGAGGACUGCUGGAGCGCUUAGAAGUGAGAAUGCCGGUAUGAGUAGCGAAAGACAGGUGAGAAUCCUGUCCACCGAAUGACUAAGGUUUCCUGGGGAAGGCUCGUCCGCCCAGGGUUAGUCGGGACCUAAGCCGAGGCCGACAGGCGUAGGCGAUGGAUAACAGGUUGAUAUUCCUGUACCCGUUGUUUUUGUUUGAGCAAUGGAGGGACGCAGGAGGCUAAGGAAUGCAGACGAUCGGAAAUGUCUGUCCAAGCAGCAAGUCUGAAGAGGAGUUAAAUACUUCUUUUCUUAAGGACAAGCUGUGAUGGGGAGGGAAAUAAUAGUACCGAAGUUCCUGAUGUCACACUGCCGAGAAAAGCUUCUAGUGAGAAAACAGCGGCCCGUACCGCAAACCGACACAGGUAGUCGAGGAGAGAAUCCUAAGGUGAGCGAGAGAACUCUCGUUAAGGAACUCGGCAAAAUGACCCCGUAACUUCGGGAGAAGGGGUGCUGAUCAUACGAUCAGCCGCAGUGAAUAGGCCCAAGCGACUGUUUAUCAAAAACACAGGUCUCUGCAAAAUCGUAAGAUGAAGUAUAGGGGCUGACGCCUGCCCGGUGCUGGAAGGUUAAGAGGAGUGCUUAGCGCAAGCGAAGGUACGAAUUGAAGCCCCAGUAAACGGCGGCCGUAACUAUAACGGUCCUAAGGUAGCGAAAUUCCUUGUCGGGUAAGUUCCGACCCGCACGAAAGGCGUAACGAUUUGGGCACUGUCUCAACGAGAGACUCGGUGAAAUUUUAGUACCUGUGAAGAUGCAGGUUACCCGCGACAGGACGGAAAGACCCCAUGGAGCUUUACUGUAGUUUGAUAUUGAGUGUCUGUACCGCAUGUACAGGAUAGGUAGGAGCCGUAGAAAUCGGAACGCUAGUUUCGAUGGAGGCGCUGGUGGGAUACUACCCCUGCGUUAUGGCCACUCUAACCCGCACCACUAAUCGUGGUGGGAGACAGUGUCAGAUGGGCAGUUUGACUGGGGCGGUCGCCUCCUAAAAGGUAACGGAGGCGCCCAAAGGUUCCCUCAGAAUGGUUGGAAAUCAUUCGAAGAGUGUAAAGGCAGAAGGGAGCUUGACUGCGAGACCAACAAGUCGAGCAGGGACGAAAGUCGGGCUUAGUGAUCCGGUGGUUCCGCAUGGAAGGGCCAUCGCUCAACGGAUAAAAGCUACCCUGGGGAUAACAGGCUUAUCUCCCCCAAGAGUCCACAUCGACGGGGAGGUUUGGCACCUCGAUGUCGGCUCGUCGCAUCCUGGGGCUGUAGUCGGUCCCAAGGGUUGGGCUGUUCGCCCAUUAAAGCGGCACGCGAGCUGGGUUCAGAACGUCGUGAGACAGUUCGGUCCCUAUCCGUCGCGGGCGUUGGAAAUUUGAGAGGAGCUGUCCUUAGUACGAGAGGACCGGGAUGGACUUACCGCUGGUGUACCAGUUGUUCUGCCAAGGGCAUUGCUGGGUAGCUAUGUAGGGAAGGGAUAAACGCUGAAAGCAUCUAAGUGUGAAGCCCACCUCAAGAUGAGAUUUCCCAUUUCUUUAAGAAAGUAAGAUCCCUGAGAGAUGAUCAGGUAGAUAGGUCAGGAGUGGAAGUACAGUGAUGUAUGGAGCGGACUGAUACUAAUCGAUCGAGGACUUAACC
rnacentral:rRNA from 1 species